GAAGGAAGUACAACCUCUGCUGGGCCUUUUUCAAAAUGGAGUCAAUGUGGGUCGCCCACUUCAGGUCCUGUGAGAUGGUAGUGCCCAGGAACCUGAAUGACUUCACUGCUGCCAAAGUGCUGUUCAGAAUGAUUUUAUCUGAGGACAUGCUUUGAUCUAUGAGACCCAGAAAGUGGCCUUCCUCACACCACCAGCUGUGAUGUCAACUUUCAAUGCUUCUUCUAGAAACAGGGUACCACUGUGAGACCUCUGCUGACAUGGACAUGAUGGCUUUUUGUUUUCCUCUAGUAGAGAACACCGUAUUUAAUGUUGUGUUCUUGGUUUAGGCACUGCUCGCACUGUCUUCCUGCAACAAUGUUGACAAAUCUACCUUGUAUGUACAUUGCAUGUUUUUGCAACUGUAUGCAUAAAACUGUGUAUUUAAGCACUCAUUCUCUCUUAAGCAUUUGACAAAGGUGCACUCAUACUAUCUAUGUGUGUGUGAACAGUUAAAGGCACAGAUAACAUCUCUGUGUGUGAAGACACAUAUUCUCUCUUUGUGU